AUAAGCCUGAGUCCCUUAGACGACCAAGGGCAUUUCAGUAAAUGUAUCUUUGGUCGUCCUGGGGUACUUUCGGUGUUAUACAUAUAUAUUUAGGGGUAACUUGGUAAUUCUAUUCAUCUUUGUUGAGGUAUGGAUUUCCAGGUGUCGCCUUCCAACUCUACGUGGACGUGGGUUGAGGCUUUCCCCACCCUUUUGCCUUCCUCCCACCGUCUGAAAGCAGGAUUUUUGCAGUUUCCAUCUCUCUUUUCUUUGCUGAUGGGUAUUGGAUCUAAAUUAAUGCCAAGGAUUGGUGUUCUACCACAUACUUAUAUAUUAUUCAACAAUCUGAAGGGAGUGCUUCUCCGCUGUAAAUUGAGCCAGCAAUGCGGAAACUGCUUUUCAGUUGUGAAUUGAGGAAAACCCGACGAGCCUUUGGAGGGACAGAGAGAACUUUUACUAUAUAUAAAAGGAAUAUAUAUGUUGCCUUGAAUGGGUACAUUUUUCUCAUAAGACUAAGAGAUGCAGGUUUUUAUCCUUUAUCGUUUUAUAUUCUUAUAGCAUAAUGAAUCCAUUUCUGUCUUAACCUUUCUUUUAUGCCACCUGAAAAUCCUUGUUUAAUGUUCAUACUGCUAACUGUUUUUUUUUUUUUUUUUUUUAUGCUGCUAACUGUUUAGAAUUAAAUGCAACUAAAUAUUUCUUGCAGGAUAACAUAACCACUACUGGUAGAAGUAAUCUCAGCAACUUUUCCAGUCAAUAAAUUUUUUAUGACAUCUAAUCUUUGUUGUCCUAGAAAUGAAAUAGUGAGAUGAAAGCUUAUUAAAGAGAUUGAAACUUUUAGGACUUCAUCCUGAUCCUUAUGCUCAAUAUUUCCUAUGACGUGAUUAGCAAAUCUUGAAUGUCAAUAAUCAGAUUUUCCUUUUUAAAACAAUAGUUAGUCCUUUAGUUACUUUCUAGAGAAUGUGUUAAGCUAUUCGUUUCAUUUACUCAUUACUGAUAGAAGUGGUAAAAGUGCAUUCACUAAAAAUAGAUGUAAAAUAAUGGUGUAGUUAGUAUCUCAAGAUGCAUACAUUAUACGUAGAACUGGGGCAUUCCAAUCCUUUAAACAAAGAAUAACAUUCCUAAAAUAAAACUUCAUCUGCAUUCAAUAGCUGAUAUCCUCUCGACAGAUUUUAAAGCAAAAACAGUGCUUAUACUAAUCGAAUUAGUCACUGUGAUUGCAGUUCACCUCCACAGAGAGUCACUACAAUAUGUCGCAGCAUGAAAGUGAUGAAAUUAUUCUGAUCUUAAAAAUUCUUUUACUGGUGUACAGCACAAGGAUUUUUUUGGGAAUACCUGAAGUGUAUUUAUGCUUGCCUUUCUGUUCAAAGUCUCCAAAAUUUCAUACAUCGUUGGAAGUUCAUAAGGUAUAAUCUUUAGAAAUCCAACCUGCUCUUUCUGAGGAAGGCCUUAAUCACCUGGUGUUAAGUUCACUCUCAAGCGUGACAUCUGCACUCGAUGUGAAGGUUAAAAACAUUGUCAAGAAGCUUAUUCUUUUGGAAGUCGGAUAUGUGUUAUCAUGUGCAGUGGCGGAGCCACAUAGAGCCGAGAGUGUUCGUCCGAACCCCCUCGGCGGAAAAAAACACUGUUUUUACAAGGUUAAAAUUAUUUUUUAUGUAUAUAUAGUAGUUGUUGAACCCCCUUAGGCUUCUUCGUAUGUUUACUUUUUUAUAUUUUGAACCCCCUCGACAGAAAUCCUGGCUCCGCCACUGAUCAUGUGUAAUUUUUCACUAUGCAAUGGUAAUGGAUUUGCUGGUGAGGUUUUGCAUUUGAUUCUAGAUUUACGGCACCUGGUUGAUUUAAAGUUUAUAUUAAUUGUUCUCUUUUAACGAAAUGUCCUCUGCUCUUAUAUAGAGCAUAAAAGGAAAGCAUCUGAUUUUUUUUCUAUUAUAGUAGAAAUUUGCGAGAGGAACAAAUAUGUGAUAUUAUAAUAGCUUUUUCUUAGAAUUUUAGGUGUUAAAUUAUAGAUGCUAUUAAAGUUACUUGGUAAAAAAGAAGGAUGCUACUUAGAGUUAUGGCACUGUGGGGAAAAGCCCGGAAAACUUACUUUAAAAUACUUAAAACCUUAACAUGUCUCUUUGCGUUUUGAUUUUCUAUUUAUGCUCAUUAUGUAUAUUCUUUUACACACUACUACGCCCUUAAAAAAAAUUUACAUCAAUAUUUAUGAUUUUGUUUUGUUUUAACAGAUUAAUGCUCUUAAAGGAGAAGAUAUAAAAUAGUUUGUAGAAAUUGCCAUAAGAAGUUGUGACUAUCUUUUCCCCCCGUGAUGCUUUCUAGGUUGGUUCUAUCAUCCUUCUGUCGGAACAUGCCCCAUCUUUUGUGUCUCAAGCUGCUGGUUUUAAGACACUUUGUGCAGAUACUAUUGAGAGAGAAGAUCAUCUCACCUCGUUACAAAGCACAUUUUGAAAAUAUUCGAUGUAGUACUAUCAAAGAAAGUUGGCUCUUCUUUCCUGCACCACUGAUGAUGUGAAACAAAAUAUCUGAUGUGGUACUAUCAAAGAAAGUUGGCUCUUCUUUCCUGCACCGGUGAUGAUGUGAAACUGCCAAUACUUGGCAUGAGGAUUCAUGAUAGAUGUUAUAAUUGGAGAUUGGAACAUCAAGGAAAUGCUUUCCUGCACCAGGAUUAUUUCUUGGACCUUAAGUGUGAUUUUUCAUGUUGGCUUGAUCAUUAGGUAUUUCUACUUUUUCUUUAGACUUUUCCAGUUCUAAAAUAUGACUCUUUUCUCUUUUUCUAUAUGAAACCAAAUAAUUAGGUGAUGGAGAAAGUUAUCAGAAUAAAGAAAAAAUAAAAAACGACACG